rnacentral:lncRNA from 1 species
GAAUUGGACUAGAAUUGGCCACAGAGAGGCCUCUUAAACUCAGAUAGGAUGAGUUACAUACAUAAUAAUUGCACUUUAAAACAACAAAUAAGUCAAAAUCUUCCACGGAAGGAAAUUACUGUCGUUAUUUUUUUCUUUCAUUUGAUGCUAAGAAUAAAAGCAAGAUGCAGGAUGCAGUACUGCAUUUUAGUCCCUGAUCAUAUUGUAACAA